GUGGGGAAUAUUGGACAAUGGGGGGAACCCUGAUCCAGCCAUGCCGCGUGUGUGAAGAAGGCCUUUUGGUUGUAAAGCACUUUAAGCGAGGAGGAGGCUACCGAGAUUAAUACUCUUGGAUAGUGGACGUUACUCGCAGAAUAAGCACCGGCUAACUCUGUGCCAGCAGCCGCGGUAAUACAGAGGGUGCAAGCGUUAAUCGGAUUUACUGGGCGUAAAGCGCGCGUAGGUGGCCAAUUAAGUCAACUGUGAAAUCCCCGAGCUUAACUUGGGAAUUGCAUUCGAUACUGGUUGGCUAGAGUAUGGGAGAGGAUGGUAGAAUUCCAGGUGUAGCGGUGAAAUGCGUAGAGAUCUGGAGGAAUACCGAUGGCGAAGGCAGCCAUCUGGCCUAAUACUGACACUGAGGUGCGAAAGCAUGGGGAGCAAACAGGAUUAGAAACCCGGGUAGUCC
rnacentral:rRNA from 1 species